AGAGUAGUUUGAUCAGUGGCUACGAGGACGAACGCUGGCGGCGUGCCUAACACAUGCAAGUCGAGCGGGGUCCAUCCGGUAGCAAUACCGGGGAAGACCUAGCGGCGAACGGGUGAGUAACACGUGAGAAACCUGCCCCGAAGUCUGGGAUAACCCGAGGAAACUCGAGCUAAUACCGGAUGUCUUCUUCUGAUCGCAUGGUCGGAUGAAGAAAGAUUUAUCGCUUCGGGAGGGUCUCGCGGCCUAUCAGCUAGUUGGCGGGGUAAACGGGCCCACCAAAGGCGUCGACGGGUAGCUGGUCUGAGAGGACGAUCAGCCACACUGGGACUGAGACACGGCCCAGACUCCUACGGGAGGCAGCAGUGGGGAAUAUUGCGCAAUGGGCGAAAGCCUGACGCAGCAACGCCGCGUGCGGGAUGAAGGCCUUCGGGUUGUAAACCGCUUUCAGUGGGGACGAAUUCAGACGGUACCCACAGAAGAAGCCCCGGCCAACUACGUG
rnacentral:rRNA from 1 species